UCACUUUGCUCGUACGUUAGGGUGAUUGAAAAAUAAAUAAAUGAAUAAUAAUCAUAACGUAAAUGGAAAUACGUAGUUAUGGGUGCUUUGUUGGUGCAGGUGUGCGAGUAUAAAUUAUUGUACAUAAAGAUUGACGAUAUAAAGAAAAAUAAAUAUCGUUUCCUCAUUUCGCGCCUCGAUUAAUAAAAUCGAAUGAGGUAUGUAUUUAUAAUCUCGAUUCGUUCUCUGUACCAGCCUAUGCUUUAUCGGAGUAUUAAUACGGUGUAUAUGAGUUCGAUAUUUGCGCCGUAUAUCGUAGGUUUUUUUUUCUUCUUCGUAUACGUAAUACCGAGCAAGUAUAUUACGAUAUAAUAAUACGAGUAAUUUUACAACAGCGAAACUUGUAGGUACACAGAGACAGUGGAAAGGGACACGUGAAUGUACAUAUACGUCUUCGUUCUCUUUAUUCCGUAUUAGAAAAGAGACGACGAGCCUAAGUUAUAGUUUUUGCGAGUAUAAGAAAAAAAAGUAAUGGAAUUGCAAGCCGCGCGGAGCAUUUCUUUACCUUAAAUGGGAGGAACACGUGAAAGACGCGCGCUGUUGUAAAAGUGCCGUAAGGGAGGAGAAAAAAGAAACGGCGGUCUGGAGGAAAACCGAGUUACGAUCUCGCCAUCGUUCUCCAACUGAUAGCGAUUUAUUCCUACCUCGAAAUGGUACGGUGAAGUAACGAGUGGGCACCAGAGUCCGAAUCUAAAUUCUGAGCGACGCGUCGCUGGGUCUGUGUGGACCGUAGAGCGAAACAACGCUUUCAAUCAUUUUUCACUCCGUUCUCCUUCGAGUCCUCGAUCCUGCGAGAGACGGUGUGAAAGUCAGCACCUCGUAUACCUUCACGCUCAUAGACACCACGUUACACCUUUCAUUUUUCAGAGGCGAAAUAAUUUGUAAAAGAAAAAAAUAGAGAAAAAAAACGAGCUGGUUUCGUAGCGGACAAGUUUCGGUGUAAAUCGGUGGUGAGAUUAAAAUCCUGAGCUCGAGAGGGUUACUUGACUCCAAUUUUCCAGAUUCCUUGGAUCACGAUUUUCCUCAUUUCCCUCCUGAAAUCAUAGAGUUGGGAAUCAGGCGGAGCGUUGGCAUGGAAAAGUCGAAGAAAAAAGGGGAAGAAUCGAUCGAGUAUUGGGCUGAAUAAUAUUCAACGUCGGGACAGAGUGUGUGGUCAAGAUAAAGAGAGAAGUUGAGGUGCAUACUUAUAGGUACGAAAGUACCAAAGGAGAGCGAUGCCUGUAGAAUGAAGCAGAAACCGGUUCAAUUACAAUACGGGGCGCGCACGGGGACUGACUCAACGCCAUAUCGGACUGUGAGUACGUUACAAACAAACGCGACAAACAAACUGACUGCGAUAUAUGCGGAAAACCGCUUCCUUGUAUCGCCUCGAUGCAUCGUACGACUUAUAAUUGCGCGGGUAAAAAUGUCCCUAAAAAGGAUAAAUUUUACAUCGUUCUCCCGAACGAAAUUAUCGAAUUUCUUCGGACCCCCGAAAACCCUUCGAAGAAAAAACUUCUAACAACUUUGCAAAAACGUACAACGUCAAUUUUUUGGCAAAAUGAGAAAAAAAAAAAAUUUCUCAAAGAAACCGAUGCAAAAACAAGGUCCCUGCGGGCGGCGCGGGAGACAACUUCUGAAAGCCAUUGUUGUUGAUGAAAAUAAUAAAAAAAAAAAAAAGAAAAAACCCCAAAACCAAAAAAAACGAAACGGUAUAAUAAUAUAAAAGGUUGUAAGAACUGGUAAAAGGAUAUAGAUAUAUACCCGUAUACACAAAACUAUAUAUAUAUACAAAAAUAAUAUAAUAAGAAUAAGAGAAUAAAAUUGACAAAAAAAAAAGAAAAAAAAAAAAAAACAGGAGGAGAAAUUUGUGGAGGCGGCAGCGGUUGCCAGGGAGGAGGACGUUUGUUGGACGUAAAGGGUCCACCGCGAUGUUCUCCAGGACUGCGCGCGGCCAUUGUGCACUUUGGUUUGCGUCCGUCCGAACGCGAAGAGAGCCGAGAGAUCAAAUUUAUGCGUACGCCCUACGAAGGUCCAUUACGAACGCGCCUCUCUCGGUCCGCGUUUGUCCCCCAGGGAAUACUCGGUAUUUAUAAUACUUGGUAUACAUUCGAAAAACCCAGACGACUUCGAAGGUGAACAACCACGGCGUACGCGCGAUACAAAAGUAUGGCACAUACGCCGAUAUUCAAAUCGAGCGUAUCCCGCAUAUCGCGAAAAGAUCCGAACCGCGAGAUCCCGAUACCCAAUUCGAACCGAGCUGCGGCUUUUUUCUCGAACUUUUUCCACUGACGUACGAAAAAUCGAAUCUUGGUCGAAAAACCGAAAAAAUUCGUUACGAAUAAAAUGAAAAAAAAACAACUUAUAACGUAAUACGGUAUAAUAAAUUUAAAGAAAACAAAAAAAUGGAAAUAAACGAAUGGAAAUAGAGAAAAUAGAGAAAGAGAAAAACCUAUGACAAAUAAAAGAGAAAUACGAGCAAGAAAUUCAAGGCAGGGCGCGCGUUUCAUGGAAGUAGAAGAGGAAAGGGGGGGUGUGGUAGGAGGAGGUGAGUCAACUGAACCACUCUUUGAAAGGUUUUUCUGAACAAGCUUACGAACACGUUACAGGAAGAGAAAAGAGGUAGAAAUAAAGUAUCGGAGCAAUAAGGACAGAGGACGAGGGAACGAGAGAGAAAGAGGCGUGGGUGAUCGGUGGGGCCAAAGUUAUGCGUUACGGUCCAGCGACGGACUCGCGUUGCGGCUGCAGUUCAGGCGGAUUAUAAAGUCGCGAGCAACGAGCGGAGGCAUAUAUAACGUGGAAGUGGAAGUAAAAUAAUAAUCACAACGGACUCUUGAAUCGCCACCGCAGCAUAUCGUGUACAGUCGAGGGGGAAAAAUACCGUCGUCCGAUUCAACGACAACGCUACAGAGAAACGAACCGCCUCGAGACCGUAUUCGCGGGUUUGACGAAUGAAUAAAACGUAUUCCACGAAUCUUUUGGCGGAAUAUCAUUGGAAAAAAGGCCGCCUUUCAAACGUUCGCAAAUACCGGGUGCAAAAAUUUAAAAAAAAAUGAAAAAAAAAAAAAGAAGAAGAAGAAGAAGAAGAUUACCCGGAAGCCCGCAACGGAUUUACGAGACGGGGGAGAUUAUUCAUCGGAAAAUUACAUAGGAAUUCUACAGUAAUUUUGCUAAUGCAUCACGGGAUUCCCUUGUCAGCGAAUACCUCAUUCUGGUUUACAGAAACUUCCGGGCAUAAAAUUCCGCAUCUGGUCAACCGGUCGAACGACCCCAUUAUAUGUGUAGUGUCUAUGCGACUCUAGAGAACGACGUAUACGCUUCACGAUUUCCAGUUAACAGUUUACGAGGAGAAGAAGAAAGUAGAAAAAAAAAAAAAAAAAGUCAACUACCCGCAAGUGCAGAUCCACUUCGCUACGAGAUUUGUAGAAUUUUCACAGAAAUAAACUGCACUCGAUAUCGAUAACAAUAAAGACGAAGAGCUGUCGGAUCGUGAGAAGUCCUUCAAAAAAUUGGAGUGGAUAACUCAGAGUCGUGGUGAGAAAAAAAAAAGACAAAGUGAAAGCAUUUGUCUGCGAGGCAAACGCCACGUCCUUUUAGGGGAUAAUAAAUUUGUCAUCCGGAUGUUUUGAAUGUGAACGAAAUAGUGAGAAUACUAGUUACCAGAUAUCAGAUAGACUGUGAUGCAGGAGGUUAACGUUUCCAAGAGUUCCGAAAAUUCGGGACUUAGACUUUCUGCAGAUAAUGGCGUAGGUGCCGAGAACCCAAAAACAUCAUUCUCAUCGUCGUCGUCGUCUUCGCCCCCGUCUCAAAGCACGUCGAGAAAUUUUAUCGGUAAAUCUCAAGUCCAGCAAAGUCUUUCCUACGUUCGUCAAGAACGAAACGGAAGCGAUGCGAGUGCGGUUAGUGGAGAUUCUGCUGCACGAGGGCAGCCGCAGCAAUGCACGACAAGUGCGCAGAUGCAGGCGCAAUAUUAUUUGAACGAAAGGAAGAUAUUCGAAUUGUUCAACUUCCUCAUCGGUCACCUUCUGGUCGACGAACCGAGUGACCCGCUCGAAUAUCUGGCUGACCUUUUGGACAAGUGCAUGCUUUUCAGAGCCGGACUCAGGGAUCCCCCUUUACUUUUCACGGCUAGACACGUCGAGAGCAUGUUCAAAAGUUUGGAUCCCGGAUGCGCGGGUAGCAUUACCAUCGACCAAUACAAGGCCGGUAUGACUACAUUGGGAAUAGGAUGUUUCGAUGUUAAUCCAAAAACGUGCUCCCCGGGACGUGUCGACAAAAAGACUUUCGAGGAAGAAGCUGUUCGCAUAUGUUGCAACAGGACACCCUGUAGCUUUUUCCAUGGAACUACUACGCUUCUUCUUCUUCAUCUUCAUCUUCUUAUUCUUAUUCUUGCCGAAUGACGUCACGCGUCUUUAGGUCAAGUGGUUAAAUUGAGCUGACUAUACAACGAAUUAUAAAGCAAAUCUUAAACAAGUGUUUGCUGAGCAUGUUCACCGAAAUGAUAAGUAAGAAGCCUUGAAAUCGGCGAAACGAAAGCGUCGAACAUAGAGAAAGAAGAAGAAGAAUAUUGUACAAAAUUUUCGAGUGAUAAUUCAACUUUUGCCACGUCAUUAGAUUAAAGUGAAUUCUAAACGCAACAGGUCUGUUGUAAGUUCUGUAUCCUUUCUUGAAAUCCUUUCACACCGAACGAUCGUAGAGAGCAAAAACAAGAAAAAAAAAAGAAACAACAAUAAUAAAAUCGUAGUUGCAGCUGGUCGUUGGACAAGUUUGAAAGUGUGCUCGUAAAGUUUAAAAGUUAAAAUACAAGUUCGCCGGCGAACGUACGUACGUACACACGUCAGACGAUUGCAAAACGUCGAACAAAUCUGAUAAAACUUCUAGUCCAAUUUACCGAUUUUCGAUGAAAUUUUUUCAAUUCGACUAUUUCUCUUCGGUUCUAUUACGUUUCGUGGCUUGAUCGUAGUUCUUUUUCCUUUCUUUUCCUCUCGUAAAGAAAAAGAGAAAAAAAAAGCGUGCAGCGGCAUAAGAGCAGCGCGUUGAGCACGAGCUGUUGCCGUUUGCCUGAGGUAAAAAUCUACGCCCAUUAUCAUCUCUCUUUUAUACACGUACAAAGGUAUACAUACACCUAUGUGUACGCGCCCAAGUUCAAACCACACCGAUCCGUAGAGCUCGGUGCUCUCAAGUAAACGAAUGCAUUUAUAGAGACACGUAUACGAAUCGUUCUCCGAGCCGUAGAACGUCUAAGGAUCGGGCAAACGUACGUGCGUGAGUGCGUGCACUUACAACACAAGGACAGGUUGCCUUCGGGCAACUUGUUGCUCUCGUCCUCUAUCCCCGAAGUGGGGCCUCCCUCGCUCUCGAAGCUCCGUAACUGCUCCCUCCGAGCCUCUCCUUGAUGGUGUGGGAGGCUGAUCUACGACUAGCGAUGUGUAAGAACCACCGGAGAGCGUCCGCCGACGUGAACAAAUUUUUCCAGCUCCAUCGUCGUCGAAGGAGUCGGCAUUUUUCCCCCCUGAAAAUUUGACGACGUUACCGUCGAUUAUCCGACUUUUACCGAGAAUACAUUUAACAGAUAUCGAAAAUUUCGCGGAGACGACGUCGACGGAAUAUUUUUUCGUUUGACGAAAUAUCAGCCAACUUUGUCCUUAAAAAUUUGUACGAAAAAUUAAAUCGGUCCACUCGUUCCCAUCGCUGUGGCACGCGUGUGACAUACGUAUGCGUGUGUAACGUACGUUUUUCUCGUGUGUACAGCACGUUGAUCUGCCCCUUCCGUGGCAUCAGAAACUUACUUUUUUUUUUUUUUUUUUUUUUUCUCUUUUCUUUUCCAUCAUAUUUUUUCGUCCCCCCACUCGACCGGUCGCGGAGGGAUGAGCGUUCGAGGGGAAGGCGAGCGCGGACGGCGAACGGUGGAGAGAAACCAGUCGACUUAGUUGUUAGUCGGUUGCAGGGACAGUUCCCGCUCGACUUUCAAAGAGGAAGGAAUUUAGCGUCGAGUCAUGUCGACGGGAGAUAAAUUUCAAACAGAUGCUGCAUCGCGUCAAAAUUUCAAAGUUUCAUACUGCGAUCGUCCAUCGUUUUUUCGCGCCAACUGUUAACAAGGUUCGGAAAACGGAGUAAUAAUCGAUUUUUUGAAUAAAAGUUUUCGAAUAUUUGUGAGACAAAAUUAUCCGCCCACGCAGUCUGUGAUAAAUAAAAUUUUCACGAUUUUAAAAUACAAUUAUGUCAUUCAAAUGAUAAUCGGUGUCUCGUUUUCGCAGUCUUGAAGAAAAUCGUUUUAAGGCGCGUACAAGCGAACGGUGAUUUCAAAUCGCAAUUGCAACCCUUGUUCAAACUUCAACGAUUGCAAAACAAUAUUUGAAAGAAAUCAAUAAAAUAAACCACUGUGUGUUUCUGGAUACCAGCUGUGAUCGUAAUAACAGUGUUUGUUUGUAAUUCUUCUUCUACU